UACAGAGGUCUCAAGCGUUGUUCGGAUUCAUUGGGCGUAAAGGGCGCGUAGGCGGCGGGGCAAGUCGGGUGUGAAAUCUCAGAGCUCAACUCUGAAAUGGCACUUGAUACUGCUCUGCUAGAGGACUGGAGAGGAGAUUGGAAUUCACGGUGUAGCAGUGAAAUGCGUAGAUAUCGUGAGGAAGACCGGUGGCGAAGGCGGAUCUCUGGACAGUUCCUGACGCUGAGGCGCGAAGGCCAGGGGAGCAAACGGG
rnacentral:rRNA from 1 species